AUUGAAACUAACAAGGAUUCCCCUAGUAGCGGCGAGCGAAGCGGGAAGAGCUCAAAUUUAUAAUCUGGCACCUUCGGUGUCCGAGUUGUAAUCUCUAGAAGUGUUUUCCGCGUUGGACCGCACACAAGUCUGUUGGAAUACAGCGGCAUAGUGGUGAAACCCCCGUAUAUGGUGCGGACGCCCAGCGCUUUGUGAUACACUUUCAAUGAGUCGAGUUGUUUGGGAAUGCAGCUCAAAUUGGGUGGUAAAUUCCAUCUAAAGCUAAAUAUUGGCGAGAGACCGAUAGCGAACAAGUACCGUGAGGGAAAGAUGAAAAGCACUUUGGAAAGAGAGUUAACAGUACGUGAAAUUGUUGGAAGGGAAACGCUUGAAGUCAGACUUGCUUGCCGGAGCUUGCUUCGGUUUGCAGGCCAGCAUCAGUUUUCCGGGGUGGAUAAUGACGGUUUGAAGGUAGCAGUCUCGGCUGUGUUAUAGCUUUCCGUUGGAUACAUCCUGGGGGACUGAGG
rnacentral:rRNA from 1 species